CCCAGCACCGAAUCCUUCACCAUUCUGGUGACAGGAAAUGUGGUGUUUAGGCCGUACUUUGUCCUGAUACGUCUCUCCUCAAGUCCACUUGAUUGUGGCCCCCGGCCCAGAGAGGGUGUAAGGCCCGUGGAGGCGAGAUGUUCAGUACCUGGUGCGUCCUUAGAGUCGGGUUGUUUGGGAAUGCAGCCCUAAGCGGGUGGUAAACUCCAUCCAAGGCUAAAUACCAGCACGAGUCCGAUAGCGAAGAAGUACCGCGAGGGAAGGUUGAAAAGAACUUUGAAGAGAGAGUUCAAGAGUACGUGAAACCGCUGAGAGGCAAACUGGUGGAACUGAAAUGGUCCCGAGGAAUUCAKCCGUUGGUGUUUGUACAGUCGGUGGUGUCUGAUUUAACGACAGCUCCAUCGGAUGACGCUUUCAUCAUCGGUGCACUUUCCUCGUUGUGGGCCCGACCACGACCGGUGAGCUGCUCUGUCCAUCGUGCUUGGAAGGUAGCGCCGUCUUCGGAUGGCGUAUUAUAGACUUGUGCGUGGAGCAGUACGGCACACUGGACGAUAGUGCCUGCCCUUGGGCUCAUAUGGUGGCUGUUUUACUGGCGAGCUCUGAUGUCACUACUUCGGUAGAGGCGUUGGACUCUGUCUGCAUUAUGGUUGUCCUCUAUGAUUGGCACUGGUAAGUCUGUGGUUGUGAAGUAGGUAGUCCACCUGACCCGUCUUGAAACACGGACCAAGGAGUCUAACAUGUGCGCGAGUCAUUGGGUUCACGAAACCUAAAGGCGCAGUGAAGGUGAAGAUCUGUUUUGGCAGAUUGAGGUGGGAUGCUGGGUUACGCGCCCGGCCGCACUACCGGCCCGUUCUACAUGUAUCUCAUGGGGGCGGAGCAAGAGCGUACACGUUGGGACCCGAAAGAUGGUGAACUAUGCUUGCGCAGGUCGAAGCCAG
rnacentral:rRNA from 1 species